UGUUCCUGGUUCCAUUAUGAUUGAAGACUGGCUGCAUCUUUGCUGUUCUAAGAAAGCCUAUCCAUUCUAGCUGUUGAUUAGUUGGGUGUCUGCUAUUUGAAGUCACUAGUCCUAAUUAAUACAUUUGGCCAAGGACAAGGCUGAUGGAAUCGUAGAAUCUUGAAGGAGUCUUUGAGAACAAUCUCAUAGCAUUAAGAAAAACCCUAAGAGGUGGCCAUCCAACCUCUGCUUGGCAAGNNNNNNNNNNNNNNNNCUCAGCAAAGCAACCCAUUCCACAGUCUCUGACAGUUAGACUCUGUCUCCUAAACACCUAGCCUAAAUCUCUCUUUUGGAAUUUUACACUUCCUAGGCUCACUGUUAGCGAGUUCGAGCUCCUACUGCUCAUCACACGACAGGCCAAUAAAUAGACAAGUUGUUGGGCAAGGAUUAGCGACUUUAUUCAAAAACCAGUCAACUGAGAAGGUGGUGGACUUGUCUUCUGAAGAACCAUCUUCCUGAGUUAGAACUCAGGUUUCUUUUAUAGUAAAAGGGGAGAGAGUAAAGUCAAACACUUCCUAGUUCCCAUCAACCUUCGGAGGGGAUGUGUUGAUUUCUUCCUGCCUGCAGUCAUCCACAGGUGGGAGGAUGUUUCCUGAGAGCUAAACAAAGGUUCUCUAGCUUAACGUUCAUUACUUGAGAGGCAAGGUUCCUAGAGUUGGGCCAUUAUGUAUAAUUUAAACUUAUAGGCAGUGUCCUUUUAUCAAUUAACUUGUAACAGAAUACAAAAUUUCUCUCCUAUCACAACUCCUCACUGUCAGUGUCUACUCUACCAUCUGAUGGGAAAAGGACAAAUACUGCUGUGGCUACUUGCAGAGAGAACCAGAUUCAGGAGGAGCUUCAAUCAAAAUGGUGGAGAAGGACAUGGAAGCUACCUCCCUCCUACAAAUACAUCAAAAAUAAUCUACAAAUGGAACAGUUCUCACAGAGCACCUAUAGAACGUUAGCAGAAGACCUCGAACACCUGAAAGGACAAGAAAGAUCCCACAGAACUGGGUAGGACAAAAGGGAUAAAAAAAAGAGGAAGUGAGAUAGGACCUGUGCCCCUGA
rnacentral:lncRNA from 1 species